AGUGAACGCUGGCGGUAGGCCUAACACAUGCAAGUCGAACGGCAGCACAGUAAGAUCUUGCUCUUACUGGUGGCGAGUGGCGGACGGGUGAGGAAUACAUCGGAAUCUACUUUUUCUUGGGGGAUAACGUAGGGAAACUUACGCUAAUACCUCAUACGACCUACGGCUGAAAUCAGGGGAUCUUCACACCUUUCGCGAUUGUAUUAGCCGGUGUCGCAUUAGCUAGUUGGCUGGGUAAGGGCCCACCAAGGCAACGAUACGUAGCUGGUCUGAGAGGAUGAUCGGCCACACUGGAACUGAGACACGGUCCAGACUCCUACGGGAGGCAGCAGUAGGGAAUAUUGCACAAUGGGCGAAAGCCUGACCCAGCAAUGCCGCGUGAGUGAAGAAGGCCUUCGGGUUGUAAAGCCCUGUUGUUAGGAAAGAACAGAAGUGGGUUAAAAUCCGCAUGUUCUGACGGUACCUAAAGAAAAAGCAACGGCUAACUUCGUG
rnacentral:rRNA from 1 species